rnacentral:rRNA from 1 species
GACGAACCGUGCAAACGUUGUUCGGAAUCACUGGGCUUAAAGGGCGCGUAGGCGGGCGGUCAAGUCAGGGGUGAAAUCUUUCGGCUCAACCGGAAAAGUGCCCUUGAUACUGACUGUCUGGAGGGAGGUAGGGGCGUGCGGAACUUCCGGUGGAGCGGUGAAAUGCGUUGAUAUCGGAAGGAACACCGGUGGCGAAAGCGGCGCGCUGGACCUCUACUGACGCUGAGGCGCGAAAGCCAGGGGAGCAAACAGG